GUUAACCAACUAAACUUGUACAUAAAUAGGGACAAUCGUAACAUAUAUAAGAAAGACUUUAUGAAAUAUAACAAUAUAUUACUCAAAAUGGAGGGACAAUUAGUUUUUACCAAAUCCACCAAAAAAAUAGUAGCCAUUUUUUUCAUUCUAACUCUAGUGCAAAUCAUGGCUGGUAAAGCGGUCGGUGAUUCUUGUUCUAAAGACAAAGAAAGUUGCGAUCCGACUCUCGGCACAUCAAAAUGUUGUGCUGGAUUUGCCUGCGACAAAUCCGUACUUACGUGUUACACUUUACCCCCUGGAGUGUCCUCCUGGUGCGCAGCUGUCGGACACCAUUGUAGUUUGUUUGGUAAAGUGUGUUGUCCCGGACACAAAUGCACAAAUCCUUUAAGAGGGCAUUGUGAUGUACUUUAAUGCAUAGGGGUUUUUGUUAAUUUGUUAUGCAUUUGAUAAAUUCAGAUUUCCUUUGUAGAUAUUGUAAGAAUUUACUAUAAAAAUAAUAAUACUCCGUAAUAUAUAUCUUUA